rnacentral:misc_RNA from 1 species
GCUUUCAAGAAAAUCCAGUUCGGCGCGCAGAAAAUCGCGCAGCCCGCUUUGCACGCUGUCGGCGCGUUCGGCCGCCUGAUCGAACAGCGGACGCCAGCCGGACACCGACAGGGAAUUGCCGCGCGACAUUUUGAAAUCCGCGCCGGCCAGAUGCAUCUUCGCCAGCGCCGCACCCACACCCGCGCAAUGCGUUGCAUUCGGCCUGCGCGGCCACACGCCUUCCAGAAAGGUGAUG